AGGCGAACGGCUGAGUAACACGUGGGCAACCUGCCCUUUGCACUGGGAUAGCCUCGGGAAACCGAGGUUAAUACCGGAUACUCCAUAUCCAUCGCAUGAUAGAUAUGGGAAAGCUCCGGCGGCAAAGGAUGGGCCCGCGGCCUGUUAGCUAGUUGGUGGGGUAGUGGCCUACCAAGGCAAUGAUGGGUAGCCGGGUUGAGAGACCGACCGGCCAGAUUGGGACUGAGACACGGCCCAGACUCCUACGGGAGGCAGCAGAA
rnacentral:rRNA from 1 species